rnacentral:rRNA from 1 species
AGUGAACGCUGGCGGCAGGUCUAAUACAUGCAAGUCGAACGGCAGCACAGCAGAGCUUGCUCUGUGGGUGGCGAGUGGCGGACGGGUGAGGAAUACAUGGGAAUCUGCCCAGUCGUGGGGGAUAACGUAUGGAAACGUACGCUAAUACCGCAUGCGCCCUACGGGGGAAAGCCGGGGACCGCAAGGCCUGGCGCGAUUGGAUGAGCCCAUGUUCGAUUAGCUAGUUGGCGGGGUAAAGGCCCACCAAGGCGACGAUCGAUAGCUGGUCUGAGAGGAUGAUCAGCCACACUGGAACUGAGACACGGUCCAGACUCCUACGGGAGGCAGCAGUAGGGAAUAUUGGACAAUGGGGGCGAACCCUGAUCCAGCCAUGCCGCGUGAGUGAAGAAGGCCCUCGGGUUGUAAAGCUCUUUUGUCCGGAAAGAAAGCAAUCGGUUAAUACCCGGUUGUUCUGACGGUACCGGAAGAAUAAGCACCGGCUAACUUCGUGCC